AAAUUAAAUAAAAUGCCUGCGUCAUUUCUAGUUGAGGGCAAGACUGUGAUCUCACACGUUAGACUACAAAAUGAAGAGCUUGGUCUGAAUGACCAGAAGCUUCUCCUGUACACUCUUCCUCUUACGACAUCACUUCAUGAUCAUCGUCAAGACGACAAGGCUGCUAGUUAGGUCGGGGUUUGACGCUGAUCUUCAGUUCGACGCUACGGCGGAAAUGGAGUUCGGGUCGUUCGGUGAUGCAUCGUCGACAUCGAGUCGAGUCAUAGAACCCGACAUGCAAGAUCGUCGUUCUGAGGUAAAAACCCAAGAGCCCAUCUAUUUUGGAUUUUGGUUUUAAGAGAAAUUGGGUUCUGAUUGUUGUUGAUAAUUUGGUUGCUGGUGACGACGAUGCCGGAAUCGAUUGCAUAAGUUUUCUUGUUCGUGGGCUCUGAGGCAGAAGACCCAGACCUCUCUAAGUUGUAACUUGUAAGUAUACGUCUGGGAACCUAUCUCGUGUUUAAGCUCUGAUUAUUAAAGAAAUAAGUUUGAUAUUGGGUUUUUGAAUUUGGCUUUUGGUUUUUGGCGAUGACGGGAAACUGGAACUUAAUUAAUUGGGUUGAGAAGCAAUAUAAGGAUUUUCCAUUAAGUCAGAAUUGAGAAGGAUGGAGAGCGUUGGACGAUGAAGGUAAACAGAGAAGGAAACAGAAAAAGAGUAGAGAAAUGUUCAGUGGCUUUGGUCCAGCAACGCAGCAGGAAGAAAGAGUUUCAAAUAAAGAAUUUAUAAGACAUACCUCCAGUUACCCGAGAUUGUAAGCAGUGGUCGUGUUUGCCUAGCAUCGUGGAGUAAAGGCUCAAACUCCAAGAAUAUCAUGUAGGGGAUUCAAGACUCUCCUCGAUUAGUGGCUUUCAUAGAUAACGUAUAUAUAAUAGUGUUGCAUGGCUUAUGGUUAUAUCUUUAUGAAUUUAAAGAUUUUGAUAUUUUAAUGGCCAUGCUUGUUUUCAAUUGCUUUGAUAUUGUGUGAUGACCUAAGAGUGAGUGGAGCAUAGCGACUACCUUGGAAUCUUGGGUUGCUAUGAAAAUGUCAUUUUUGGAUUGUACUUAGAUACUAGUUUUGCCUCGUGGUUUAUAGCUUAAACUUCAAAGAAAGUCAAAUUGGUUUCUUUACACGU